rnacentral:rRNA from 1 species
UAGGGAAUAUUCCACAAUGAGCGAAAGCUUGAUGCAGCGACACAGCGUGCACGAUGAAGGUCUUCGGAUUGUAACGUGCUGUUAUAAGGGAAGAACAUUUGCAAUAGGAAAUGAUUGCAGACUGACGGUACCUUGUCAGAAAGCGAUGGCUAACUAUGUGCCAGCAGCCGCGGUAAUACAUAGGUCGCAAGCGUUAUCCGGAAUUAUUGGGCGUAAAGCGUUCGUAGGCUGUUUGUUAAGUCUGGAGUUAAAUCCCGGGGCUCAACCCCGGCUCGCUUUGGAUACUAGCAAACUAGAGAUAGAUAGAGGUAAGCGGAAUUCAAUGUGAAGGGGUGAAAUGCGUGGAUAUAUGGAAGAACACCAAAGGCGAAGGCAGCUUACUGGGUCUAUACGGACGCUGGGGGACGAAAGCGUGGGGAGCAAACAGG